UCCCACCGUACUGCCUGGGCAGCGCUGUCGCCGUCGUGUGUGGGGAAACCAGCACUGUACCAAGGUCAAGUGCACCGAGCUCGUCCAUUGUGGUUUAGACCAGCUUUUGCCUUUCCUUGAAUUCUCUUGUUCAUAUUUAUGCAUGUUUCCUGAUUCCCCUUUUCUCAUCUGUGAUGUGAUGCUCAUACGAAAAGGAAGAGUAAGAAGAAAUCUAUGAAAGAUGGUAAAUUGGCAAUAGAAGAACAUGUAGGUGUAGAUGCUGGUUGAUGCUGGCACUUGGACUCUUAUCUCAGAGUAAAUUAGCUUCAGAUAUCAGAAUAGUACACUGGUUCAGAAAUCAGAAUAACUACUAUCUGGGUGCAACUUGCUGGCAGGGCAGUUAAAUUAGAUAUCUUAUUUUUCAUUGUAUCUUGCUUAUUACUUUUACAAAUUAGUGUUCAAGACAAUCUUCUGUUGUUGCAUUCCACCAAGUUAGCUUACAGCCGAAGAUAGUUUAUCCAAUCCAAAUGAUGUAGGUCGAACAAAACUUAUGGCUGGGGUAAAAAUAUUUGUGGUGAUCAGCAUCUUCCUCUCGCUUCGCUGUUAAGAUGUCGACGCGGCGCUACGCACCGGAUGAUUUAUACUACUACCAUGUUUUUUAUGUUGGGUCUGAGAAACUAGAGAAUUCAUGCCUCUUUGCCAUGCCAAGAGUAUUCUAGGGAUUUCUUAUGAAUAUACUGUAUGUAAUAUGGGAUGGCUAUUUUGAUUAAGAGAUCAAUUUUUAUGCAGGUUUAUCUACACACUUCUCAGCCUGGGAAUCAUCAUGUGCUUGCUGACCUGCUCGGGCCACAUCGCCGCUGAAACUGCAAACAGCCCCUGCCUGUCUUGUCACGUGAUCUUUGUAUUCUUGCUUGUGAUACUGGAAGCUGCAAUCGCCGCCGAUGUAUUUCUGAAUAGCUACUGGGAGGAGGACAAAUCCCACCAGACUUGGCUCUAAUUGAAGUUAUCAUAAGAGUAAGCAAUCAGCACUUGUUGUUCUGUUUUCUGAUUCUAUUGAGAAAGCUCAAAAUUUGCAGUGUAAGAUCAAAC